UUUAUAAGUGCAUGUUACUCACCAUGUUUAACUUGAUAAACAGUUAUUUCUCCGUCCAUAGUAGAGAAACCAUUAUAAUAUAAUGUGAUGGAAAAACUAAUUAAAUUUGGCUAGUAGUCUUUUUUAAGAAAAGGAAAUGAAUUCGUUAUCAACAUGGUUGAAAUUAUUAAUUGGAAGAAACGGUUGAAAUUAUUUGCAGGCUAGAGUGAUAAUAUGGUUGGGAAGUCAAGAAAUGGAAGCAAGGAAGGGUAACAAAGGACCAGCUUCAAUACCAUUGUUUCCAUUGCAACCUCAAGCACUAUUAAUGCAAGGCUUUUGCAUAAAGAGAUCACUUCACAAUUUCCUUCAGAAGAGAAAGAAAAGGUCUAAAAGUCACGUCUAGCUCCAUUGCAACUUACUAUAGCAAAAACUAGUCAAAUUAUGUACUACCAAAUUUUACCCUUUGCGGGGACCAAUAGUGUAUUUUCACUUGAUACACCACUUUCUUCAGUGGUCUAGUGAUAAGGCACAUUUUUAUCAAUGAAGAAUGGCUCUUCCAGUUCACUAUGACAUCUUCUAACCAUAAAUAUUCCAGUUUUGCAUAUAUGAAAAAAAAAUGUGUGGGUCGGUCGCAUUGAUCGAACAUUAAUGAAAGGAAAA
rnacentral:lncRNA from 1 species